rnacentral:rRNA from 1 species
AACGAACGCUGGCGGCAUGCCUAACACAUGCAAGUCGUGGGGCAAGUUUUGAUAGCAAUAUUGGAACCUAGAGCGGCGCACGGGUGAGUAACGCGUACAUGACCUGCCCUAUACUGGGGGAUAGUCUUGGGAAACUGAGAAUAAUCCCGCAUGUGAUUAGAAUGCUGCAUGGCAAAUUAAUUAAAGCUGAGGCGGUAUAGGAUGGGCGUGCGCCUGAUUAGGUAGUUGGCGGGGUAACGGCCCACCAAGCCUACGAUCAGUAACUGGUGUGAGAGCACGACCAGUCACACGGGCACUGAGACACGGGCCCGACUCCUACGGGAGGCAGCAGUAAGGAAUAUUGGUCAAUGGACGAAAGUCUGAACCAGCCAUGCCGCGUGAAGGAUGAAGGCCCUCUGGGUUGUAAACUUCUUUUAUAGGGGACGAAAAAGGGAAUUCUUUCCCACUUGACGGUACCCUAGGAAUAAGCACCGGCUAACUCCGUGCCAGCAGCCGCGGU